rnacentral:rRNA from 1 species
UCAAGUGACUAAGUGCAUGUGGUGGAUGCCUUGGCGAUUACAGGCGAUGAAGGACGUUGUAGCCUGCGAAAAGCUGCGGGGAGCUGGCAAACAAGCUUUGAUCCGCAGAUGUCCGAAUGGGGAAACCCACUCCGCAAGGAGUAACCCUGACUGAAUACAUAGGUCAGUGGUGGCGAACCCGGCGAACUGAAACAUCUAAGUAGCCGGAGGAAUAGAAAUCAACCGAGAUUCCCUAAGUAGUGGCGAGCGAACAGGGACCAGCCUGCAAGAGAUAACUAGUGUGUUAGUGGAACGCUCUGGAAAGUGCGGCCGUAGUGGGUGAUAGCCCCGUACGCGAAAACACAUUAGCGAGACUAAGUUUGCGACAAGUAGGGCGGGACACGUGAAAUCCUGUCUGAAGAUGGGGGGACCAUCCUCCAAGGCUAAAUACUCGUAAUCGACCGAUAGUGAACCAGUACCGUGAGGGAAAGGCGAAAAGAACCCCGGGAGGGGAGUGAAAUAGAUCCUGAAACCGCAUGCAUACAAACAGUGGGAGCCUCGCAAGGGGUGACUGCGUACCUUUUGUAUAAUGGGUCAGCGACUUACGUUCUGUAGCGAGCUUAACCGAAUAGGGGAGGCGUAGCGAAAGCGAGUCUGAUAAGGGCGCUUUAGUUGCAGGGCGUAGACCCGAAACCAGAUGAUCUAUCCAUGGCCAGGAUGAAGGUGCGGUAACACGCACUGGAGGUCCGAACCCACUAAUGUUGAAAAAUUAGGGGAUGAGCUGUGGAUAGGGGUGAAAGGCUAAACAAAUCUGGAAAUAGCUGGUUCUCCCCGAAAGCUAUUUAGGUAGCGCCUCAUGUAUCACUCGCGGGGGUAGAGCACUGUAAUGGUUGGAGGGGUCAUUGCGAUCUACUCCGCCAUAGCAAACUCCGAAUACCGCGAAGUGCGAGCAUGGGAGACAGACUGUGGGUGCUAACGUCCAUGGUCAAGAGGGAAACAACCCAGACCGCCAGCUAAGGUCCCCAAGUCAUGGUUAAGUGGAAAACGAGGUGGGAAGGCAUAGACAGUCAGGAAGUUGGCUUAGAAGCAGCCAUCUUUUAAAGAAAGCGUAAUAGCUCACUGAUCGAGUCGUCCUGCGCGGAAGAUGUAACGGGGCUCAAACCAUGCACCGAAGCUGCGGAUAUGUGCGUUCCACUUUAAUUCAUUCGAAGCGACAAGCUCAGUGAAGGCUAGCCUUUAGGUUAUGUCGAAACUAAAGCGUCGAUCAAUUCGAGUCGGAGUGAAUUAAAGGGAGCGCACAUAUGGUAGGGGAGCGUUCUGUAGGUCUGCGAAGGUGGGGUGAGAACCCUGCUGGAGAUAUCAGAAGUGCGAAUGCUGACAUGAGUAGCGAUAAAGCGUGUGAAAAGCACGCUCGCCGAAAGCCCAAGGUUUCCUGCGCAACGUUCAUCGGCGCAGGGUGAGUCGGCCCCUAAGGCGAGGCCGAAAGGCGUAGUCGAUGGGAAACGGGUCAAUAUUCCCGUACCGAUCACAGAUGCGAUGGGGGGACGGAGAAGGUUAGCUCAGCCGGGUGUUGGACGUCCCGGUUUAAGCGUGUAGGCGUGCUCUUUAGGAAAAUCCGGAGAGCUUAGCUGAGGCGUGAUGACGAGGAUCUUCGGAUCUGAAGUGAGUGAUACCCUGCUUCCAGGAAAAGCCUCUAAGCUUCAGUCUGUGAUUGACCGUACCGCAAACCGACACAGGUGGGCAGGAUGAAAAUUCUAAGGCGCUUGAGAGAACUCAGGAGAAGGAACUCGGCAAAUUGAUACCGUAACUUCGGGAGAAGGUAUGCCCCGGUAGCGUGAAAUCCCUUGCGGAUGGAGCGUGAUGGGGUCGCAGAGAAUCGGUGGCUGCAACUGUUUAAUAAAAACACAGCACUCUGCAAAGGCGAAAGCCGACGUAUAGGGUGUGACGCCUGCCCGGUGCCGGAAGGUUAAUUGAUGGGGUGCAAGCUCUUGAUCGAAGCCCCGGUAAACGGCGGCCGUAACUAUAACGGUCCUAAGGUAGCGAAAUUCCUUGUCGGGUAAGUUCCGACCUGCACGAAUGGCGUAAUGAUGGCCACACUGUCUCCUCCUGAGACUCAGCGAAGUUGAAAUGGUUGUGAAGAUGCAAUCUACCCGCGGCUAGACGGAAAGACCCCAUGAACCUUUACUGUAGCUUUGCAUUGGACUUUGACGGGACUUGUGUAGGAUAGGUGGGAGGCUGUGAGACCGGAUCGCUAGAUUCGGAGGAGCCAACCUUGAAAUACCACCCUGGUGUCGUUGAGGUUCUAACCUUGGUCCGUGAAUCCGGAUCGGGGACCGUGCAUGGCAGGCAGUUUGACUGGGGCGGUCUCCUCCCAAAGAGUAACGGAGGAGUACGAAGGUCUUCUAAGCACGGUCGGACAUCGUGCUCAUAGUGCAAUGGCAAAAGAAGGCUUGACUGCGAGACCCACAAGUCGAGCAGGUGCGAAAGCAGGUCAUAGUGAUCCGGUGGUUCUGUAUGGAAGGGCCAUCGCUCAACGGAUAAAAGGUACUCUGGGGAUAACAGGCUGAUUCCACCCAAGAGUUCAUAUCGACGGUGGAGUUUGGCACCUCGAUGUCGGCUCAUCACAUCCUGGGGCUGUAGCCGGUCCCAAGGGUAUGGCUGUUCGCCAUUUAAAGUGGUACGUGAGCUGGGUUUAAAACGUCGUGAGACAGUUUGGUCCCUAUCUGCCGUGGGCGCUGGAAAUUUGAGGGGACCUGCUCCUAGUACGAGAGGACCGGAGUGGACGGAUCUCUGGUGUACCGGUUGUCACGCCAGUGGCAUCGCCGGGUAGCUAAAUCCGGAAGAGAUAAACGCUGAAAGCAUCUAAGCGUGAAACUCGCCUCAAGAUGAGAUUUCCCGGGGGUUUAACCCCCCUGAAGGGUCGUCCAAGACCAGGACGUUGAUAGGUCAGGUGUGGAAGCGCAGUAAUGCGUUAAGCUAACUGAUACUAAUUGCCCGUGAGGCUUGACCCU